rnacentral:tRNA from 2 species
GGCUCGGUAGCUCAGUUGGUAGAGCAAAGGACUGAAAAUCCUUGUGUCGACGGUUCGAUUCCGCCCCGCGCCACCA